GACGAACGCUGGCGGCGUGCCUAAUACAUGCAAGUAGAACGCUGAAGCGAGGAGCUUACUCUUCUUGGAUGAGUUGCGAACGGGUGAGUAACGCGUAGGUAACCUGCCUUGUAGCGGGGGAUAACUAUUGGAAACGAUAGCUAAUACCGCAUAACAAUGGAUGACACAUGUCAUUUAUUUGAAAGGGGCAAUUGCUCCACUACAAGAUGGACCUGCGUUGUAUUGGCUAGUAGGUGAGGUAAUGGCUCACCUAGGCGACGAUACAUAGCCGACCUGAGAGGGUGAUCGGCCACACUGGGACUGAGACACGGCCCAGACUCCUACGGGAGGCAGCAGUAGGGAAUCUUCGGCAAUGGGGGCAACCCUGACCGAGCAACGCCGCGUGAGUGAAGAAGGUUUUCGGAUCGUAAAGCUCUGUUGUAAGUCAAGAACGGGUGUGAGAGUGGAAAGUUCACACUGUGACGGUAGCUUACCAGAAAGGGACGGCUAACUACGUG
rnacentral:rRNA from 1 species